CAGCAGCCGCGGUAAUACAGAGGGGGCAAGCGUUAUUCGGAAUUAUUGGGCGUAAAGCGCGCGUAGGCGGACCGGAAAGUCGGUUGUGAAAUCCCUGGGCUCAACCCAGGAACUGCAUCCGAAACUCCCGGUCUAGAGUGACGGAGAGGAUAGUGGAAUUCCCGGUGUAGAGGUGAAAUUCGUAGAUAUCGGGAGGAACACCAGUGGCGAAGGCGGCUAUCUGGACGUCCACUGACGCUGAGGCGCGAAAGCGUGGGGAGCA
rnacentral:rRNA from 1 species